CUGAGGUCGGCAUCAAGGUGAAGAUGGCCGAAGUAACACUAUUGCUGGAGCUUCAUUUGAAUACCUACAAAAAAUCUUCACCGAGGUGUUCUUUGAUGAAAACCCUCCGACGCUCAAGUCAGGAGAUGGAGAACAAUGAGAAGGAGAGAGUGAGGUGUGAAGAAUUUACUUUAAGAGUCUUGUGGUCCCUUUCUUUAUAGGGGAGAAGUUGGAGUUGUAUCCGUCUCAAAGUCUUGAUAGCUUUUCAAGUUUGGUACGUAGAUUGAUUUGGAGAAGUUAUUUUCUUUUACGAAAGAUUCAAUCGCAGAGAAA
rnacentral:lncRNA from 1 species